GAAAUUAUUGGAAUUCUGCACAUAAUAUUAUUUCUUUUUAUAUAUUCUUAGAGGUCAGAUCAGAAGUGGUACUUGAAAAUGAAUAACACACGUCUAUGAACAUUUAACCUGGUAAGGUUUAUUUCUUACAAAGGAUUUAGCAGAAGCCAACUUUGAAUAGCAAAUACAAUAUCAAUAAUUAAUUAUAAGAUCAUGAUGUGACAUCUUCAACGUCCGUCAUCUUUCUGUCCGUCAUAACUUCUUCUUCUAUACCAGCCUGGUCAGUCCAGCGGGCCUAGCAUGGCGAUUCUAUCUCUAUUCUACCAAGAAACGACAAAGCUCUUUCUUUCCCACUCGACAUGUCUUCUACCCGAGCAUGGCGCGAGCUGUAGACUCGCGUUUCUAU